ACAGCAGGGACCAUUAUGUCCAAAGACAGUUUAUCCUCAUAAAUUUUAGUGAGAGUCAUGGAUGCUAAUUAAGGCCAAUUCGCAAAGCCAAGUGUAGUUGUUCUUCAUCCUCCACCUGAUUCAGUACAGCUGUUUCCAAAGGGAAACUAGAGGCAUGUAAUUUGUUCUCUUAGGAUUUGGAUUCUACUUCAUUUAUUUAUGAUAGAUCUUUGGAUUUAGAGGUUACAUAACCACAUGCUUAUAAUGGUACUCAUUAAUUGACCACAUAAUUUAUCUAUUUCUGACCAUGCAAAUAACUUUAGGGAUGAUUUCAAUAAAAAAUUUAAGAAAUAUAUUUUAAUGCUAUAAAAUACAAGUACUCCAAAUGCCUUAAAUUGGAUCAUGCAGGAAACCAUGGAAAUCACAUUAUUUUGCAUUUUGGCUUUGGAAACAAGCCGCACUUUGAGAACACUCAGGAAGAAUUCGCAAAACUGAUCCUGCCAUAAACAAUACAACACAAAGAGUUCUUUCCUGAGACUAAAAUUGUUUGGCUAGGAGGAGGGAAGGAUGGUGAAGAAUACAGUUUAGGAAGUGAUCUAGCUGAGAAAGGUGAGAAAAACACUGACAAGAAAGUGAGUGCUUUUGCUAAUUGAACCUAAGAAUAGAGUGUUAGAUAAUGUGGGUUUAUGAAAGACUGUAUCUUACGAACAAAUAUUUUGGUUUCAGGAUGAUGUAAAGUUUGAAUAAUAACAGUAACUUUCCACUAUUAUUAAAACUACUCUCUUUCCGCAGUUGCAGCUGGAUUAGAGUCAAAAAUUCCAGAGCGGCAGGCCCAAGGAAGAAGAGUAUGCAGAAAUGAGGCAUUUGGCUGCUUAAGAAAUCAAGAGAGGCACACAAAAACAGAUCUGCUUCAGAAAACUACAGCAGAGGCGUCCGUCAUUAUAGUGAAGACAUUCAUGCUUGGAGGUGAAGAAAUUGUUUCAUGAAGUAAGAAUCCUCUUUGCAUACUUGAUUAUGGGCAACUUGUUUUAUUGCACUUAGCAGAUACUGCAUUUUUGCAGACACAACUUUUAUGGUAACCAUGGCUGAGCAAGUCUGUUGACACUAUUUUUACAACAGCAUGUGUUUACUUCUUAUCUUUGUGUCACACUUUGAUAAUUUAUAAGAUUUUCAAUUUAUUAUUAUUAUUAUAUCU
rnacentral:lncRNA from 1 species